rnacentral:tRNA from 1 species
GUGGCUGUGGCUCAGUGGCAGAGUGCUUGCCUAGCAUGUGUGAAGCACUGGGUUCAAUUCUCAGCACCACA